UCUGAUCCUUUUUUAGAAAAACAGGAUCUGGUUGCCAUGGCGCUGAAAGAGCGCUUUCUGUACCUGCUGUUUUCAGGAUGAGCAAAUCACUUUCAGCUGACCACACUGUGGCAUCUGGCCAGCAGGAUCUGCAGAAUCCAGCAGGAUGGAUGCCGAGCCAACCCUGAGCUGGAAGAGACACCUUUCCUUCUUCCGAGCAGGACUCAGAGUUGGAGAAACAUGCAUUUCCAGAGAAAAGCUGGGAAGAGACUCUUGCACGGAAACACUGUCUAAAAGCACUUUCACCUUGGUUGCUGGCAAACAGGCACGUAGCAAGCUACAGUUUAGGACCUGACGCCGCUUUGAAGGUGUGUCAGCUGGACACAGAAAACGAGGUUACGGAAACAACGGUCCCAGCAUGGCUCACUCUCCACCACUCUGUGCUCUCUCUCCUCAGUCUUGUGGGGCUGGAGACGCAGUGGCUUAGAAGUGGGGUGACCUGGUUGUGAUCAAAAGGCACCAUCCAUGGAAAAUGUGCCUCAUCUUGCACCACACACCAGCGGAAAAGGGAAUUUUAGGAAAACUAGGACAAACAGAACUAAAUAGAGCAGAGCCUCUAGUAUGGGAAGAACAGUGCUUAAAAAUUACAGAAAUUACAAAAGAUAAAAUAAAUAGAACA